UUUAUUAGCUUUGCAGUUUAAGCGAAACCAGAAUGUUAGAUUACAUAAGAGCCAAGAUGGCGAGUUACUAAAUAUGUGGUGGCUUAAAAUCCGAGUGCUUUUUAAAGUCACUGAAUGAUUAGCAAACACCUUAAGCUAUAAGCUUAAUUCUUCUUAAAGACCUGUAGUCCCUGGCAAUACUUUAUCUGUCAACUUUACCACCCCACCUCUGUUUGGGAAGGUCUCGUUUCACUGUUUGUUUUACAAUUUGCACCUUCAAGGACUUUUAGCAGGACGCCAGCACGACGUUGGACAGGAGGACACAACGGCGCUAAAGAAAACGCAAGUCGCAUUCAAUUUAGCAACAAAACCAAACUUUUUUCCACGCCGGACAAUAAGCGAAAGCAAAAACUUGCCACAUGGAGAGAAAGGAAGAUCCACAAAAGUAGGCAACAAAAGUUGCCGCAACGACUUGAGAUAGUUGCAGGCAACCUGGCGGGCGGGGAAACGGUGGAUGGAAGGGAAGGGAACUUGCCACUGCAACGCGCUAACAUAAAAAGCAAAACUUUUAACUGAUGCCACAAGUAAAAGGUGCUACUUGUCGGGGACAGGCGACUCGUCCCAUUGUUUCGUAAUGGAGAAAUAUUGUUUAGCAUGCGAACAGAAGUCGAGGAACAGGAACAGACAAUGCUGACAUCGGACAAAGGCCAGGGGUUCUGGUGGUUGAGGGGACUUAGGGGUUUUAGGGGGUUUGGAAUCCCCCCUUUGGAUUCAGCAGCUGCAGCGCUCUAGCGACUUCGAGUAGCGGUAUUAUUAUGCAUAAUGGUUUCUGGUCUAUUGACAUUUAUGGCACUUGCGCUGCAGUGUUGGCAGGUGAUAAGGUACUUGAAUUCGGGUUUAACUACCCUUCGGUACGAUGCACAUUCUGUAACAUAAAGAGGUUGUAGGAACCCCUCUAAAAUUAAAAAAAAAAAAAAUGUUAUUAAGAGAUAUAUUUUAUUAUGAGUAUUUUCGUUUGCUUGUAGUUUAAUUGAAAAAGUAUCCGAAAAUUUAUUAAUAAAAGAAGAUCUUGAAAGCAAUAAGUUCUUCCUAUAUUUACAAAUGAUAAAAUGAAAAUAUUAACUUAUUUAAUAUUGUAGUAAAUUUAUAUUACCAGAUUCGAUAGUACUCUUCGUAACACUGUUAGUCAAAAAAAAAAAAAAAAAAACAAAGACUUUCGUUUGGAUAUCGCUAAAGUUUCACUUGCAGAAAGAAAACUUUAGGUGGAGUGGCAUAGUUGAGAUUCAGGCAAUGCAAAUGGAAAAAGGAUACUAAAGCGUCAAGGUGUGAGUUUUCAGGAAAAGUUAGCUUGUCCAAAACCAUAACUUUUUGAUAAAGUAAAUUUAAAAACUUAAAAAAUUAACUAAUAAACCAUACAAAUGUUACUUUUUUGAGAUGUGAAAAGUAUAUAAAAUAACAAACUUAUUUGUUGUGUUUUUUAGGCUCAACCAAUUCACAUUUCCUUUGCCUUAAAAAUAAACGGUGAAAUAGACAAA